UCCGUGUUAACCACGGCAGUCCCUCUAGAGUGCCCAACUGAAUGCUGGCAACUAAAGGCAAGGGUUGCGCUCGUUGCGGGACUUAACCCAACAUGUCACCACACGUGCUGACGACAGCCAUGCAGCACCUGUCUCCCGGCUGUAUUGCUACAGAAGCCGUAUUUCUACGGAUGUCCGGGGAUGUCAAACCCAGGUAAGGUUUUGCGCGUUGCUUCGAAUUAAACCACAUGAUCCACCGCUUGUGCGGGCCCCCGUCAAUUCCUUUGAGUUUUAGUCUUGCGACCGUACUUCCCAGGCGGGGUACUUAUUGCGUUAGCUCCGGCUCUGCAGGGGUCUAUUCCCCCGACACCUAGUGAACAUCGUUUAGGGCCGAGACUAC
rnacentral:misc_RNA from 1 species